AUUGAACGCUGGCGGCAGGCUUAACACAUGCAAGUCGAGCGGGGUGAUGGUGCUUGCACUAUCACUUAGCGGCGGACGGGUGAGUAAUGCUUAGGAAUCUGCCUAUUAGUGGGGGACAACAUCUCGAAAGGGAUGCUAAUACCGCAUACGUCCUACGGGAGAAAGCAGGGGAUCACUUGUGACCUUGUGCUAAUAGAUGAGCCUAAGUCGGAUUAGCUAGUUGGUGGGGUAAAGGCCUACCAAGGCGACGAUCUGUAGCGGGUCUGAGAGGAAGAACCGCACAACUGGGACUGGGAAACGGCCCAGACUCCUACGGGAGGCAGCAGGGGGGAAUAUUGGACAAGGGGGGGAACCCUGAUCCAGGCAUGCCGCGGGUGUGAAGAAGGCCUUAUGGUUUUAAAGCACUUUAAGCGAGGAGGAGGCUCUUUUGGUUAAUACCCAAGAUGAGUGGACGUUACUCGCAGAAUAAGCACCGGCUAACUCUGUGCCAGCAGCCGCCGUAA
rnacentral:rRNA from 1 species